rnacentral:rRNA from 1 species
UAAAGAUUAAGCCAUGCAUGUCUAAGUAUAAGCAAUUAUACAGCGAAACUGCGAAUGGCUCAUUAAAUCAGUUAUCGUUUAUUUGAUAGUACCYUACUACAUGGAUAACCGUGGUAAUUCUAGAGCUAAUACAUGCUGAAAACCCCGACUUCGGAAGGGGUGUAUUUAUUAGAUUAAAAACCAAUGCCCUUCGGGGCUCACUGGUGAUUCAUGAUAACUUCUCGAAUCGCACGGCCUUGCGCCGGCGAUGGUUCAUUCAAAUUUCUGCCCUAUCAACUUUCGACGGCUGGGUCUUGGCCAGCCGUGGUGACAACGGGUAACGGAGGGUUAGGGCUCGACCCCGGAGAAAACGCCUGAGAAACGGCGUUUACAUCCAAGGAAGGCAGCAGGCGCGCAAAUUACCCAAUGCCGACACGGCGAGGUAGUGACGAGAAAUACUGAUACAGGGCUCUUUUGGGUCUUGUAAUUGGAAUGAGUACAAUUUAAAUCUCUUAACGAGGAACAAUUGGAGGGCAAGUCUGGUGCCAGCAGCCGCGGUAAUUCCAGCUCCAAUAGCGUAUAU